AAAAAAACUUAAAACUUUAAUUUUUUUAAAACACAUUUCGAUUCUUUCAUAAGAUUUCUCUCGCAGUACUACCACGGGUGAAAUCCUAGAAUUGACGGGUUUGAAUCGAUAUUAAUAUGGGAUGGUGUACUACGGGUGAUAAUUUAGAAUUGACUGGUUUAGGUUGAUAAUAAUUUGCGAUAGAAUUAGGAGUGAAAUCCUAGAAUGAUAAUUAAAAUAUAAUUAUACAAUUAAAUACUACCACGGGUGAAAUCGUAGAAUUGACGGGUUUGAUUCGAUAUUAAUAUGGGAUGGUGUACUACGGGUGAAAUUUUAGAAUUGACUGGUUUGGGUUGAUAAUAAUUUGCGAUAGAACUAGGAGUGAAAUCCUAGAAUGACAAUCAAGUUAUUAUUAUACAAUUAAAUACUACCACGGGUGAAAUCCUAGAAUUGACGGGUUUGAUUCGAUAUUAAUAUGGGAUGGUGUACUACGGGUGAAAUCCGAGAAACAACAAUCAAAAUACAAUUAUACAAUAUUAAACAUUUAACAAAAUAAACAAAUACAACUUAAAACUUUAAAAUUUGAGUUAUAAAAUUUCGUCUCGUGGUGAAUUAUACAUUUAAAUCAAACAAUAACAUAAAUUUAUUAAAUCAUCCUACAAAAUAUUCAAUUAUUUUUUAAUUAAUGAAAAUAUAAGCCCGCGGUAUACCGCGGGUUAAUAUCUAGAUACAAAAAAAUAAUCAAAUUUCAAUUCUAUAAACAUACUAAAUAAUAUAUCUAAAUAUACA
rnacentral:sRNA from 1 species